UUUCUUCUUCGUUCUCGUUCCUCUCUGUAGUGAGUGUAAAGUCUCUCCGCAAGCUCUCUCGUUUCGUUGGUUGGUGCUGGACCAGUUUUGGAUGAUGCUUUUAUCAAUCGAUGACGACGGCUUUGAUGGAAACGCUUCUUCUCUGUGCCACGUCUUCAGGGGUUUUGAUGAUGAUGAUGAUGAUAGCUUUGAUGGACACGAA